CAGCGCCACAAGUGGGAGCCAUUAUUAUUGGGCCUAAAGCGUCCGUAGUCGGUUUAAUAAAUUUUUUGUGAAAUUAUCCAGCUUAACUGGAUAGCGUGCAGAAAAGACUGUUAAACUAGGGACCGGGAGGAGUGUGAGGUAUUCUUUGGGGAGCGGUAAAAUGUUAUAAUCCUUGGAAGACCACCUGUGGCGAAGGCGUCACGCUAGAACGGAUCCGACGAUGAGGGACGAAAGCUAGGGGAGCGAUCCGGAUUAGAGACCCGAGUAGUCC
rnacentral:rRNA from 1 species